UAUGUGAUCGUCUCUCGCAUAUCAAUAAGCGGAGGAAAAGAAACUAACAAGGAUUCCCCUAGUAACGGCGAGUGAAGCGGGAAGAGCUCAAAUUUGAAAUCUUAAAGGGUUUCCCUUUACGAAUUGUAGUUUAAAGAAGUGUUUUCUGUUGAGGUUUUGGUAAAAGUUCUUUGGAAUAGGACAUCAUAGAGGGUGAGAAUCCCGUAUUUGACCUUUACUUUCAACUUUGUGAUACACUUUCAAAGAGUCGGAUUGUUUGGGAAUGCAGUCCAAAAUGGGUGGUAAAUUUCAUCUAAAGCUAAAUAUUGGCGAGAGACCGAUAGCGAACAAGUACCGUGAGGGAAAGAUGAAAAGAACUUUGAAAAGAGAGUUAAACAGUACGUGAAAUUGUCAAAAGGGAAGCGUUUGACACCAGUGUUGUUUUUCUGAAAAUCAAUUAAAGAACUGUUUAUGCUAAGUUGUUUAGACUUUAUCAGCUAACUGUUUAGUUUUGGAGCUUUUCUUUAAUGCACUUUUCAGUUAACAAGUCAACAUCAAUUUCUUUUGCUGUAAAAAAGCUUGAGGAAGGUGGCUUGAGAUUCGUCUUAAGUGUUUAUAGCCUCUUGCCUAUGCAGUCGGAGAGAUUGAGGUCUGCAGCGUAGAUCCUUCGGGGCUAAAUGCAUUUGUGCUAAGUUAUAGCAUUUUAUAGACAACUUGUUGACUAUGAUUUGUCUUGUAGCUUACUCGCUUAUGUUAUUUUACCUACGCUUAGGAUGUUGAUCUACAGAGCGAGAGU
rnacentral:rRNA from 1 species